rnacentral:rRNA from 1 species
AGCGAACGCUGGCGGCAGGCCUAACACAUGCAAGUCGAACGAACCUUUCGGGGUUAGUGGCGGACGGGUGAGUAACACGUGGGAACGUGCCUUUAGGUUCGGAAUAACUCAGUGAAACUUGUGCUAAUACCGAAUGUGCCCUUCGGGGGUAAGAUUUAUCGCCUUUAGAGCGGCCCGCGUCUGAUUAGCUAGUUGGUUGAGGUAAUGGCUCACCAAGGCGACGAUCAGUAGCUGGUCUGAGAGGAUGAUCAGCCACAUUGGGACUGAGACACGGCCCAAACUCCUACGGGAGGCAGCAGUGGGGAAUCUUGCGCAAUGGGCGAAAGCCUGACGCAGCCAUGCCGCGUGAAUGAUGAAGGUCUUAGGAUUGUAAAAUUCUUUCACCGGGGACGAUAAUGACGGUACCCGGAGAAGAAGCCCCGGCUAACUUCGUG